AGAGCUCAAAUUUCGAAUCUGGCGGUCUACGGCCGUCCGAGUUGUAAACUAGAGAAGCGUCAUCCGCGUCGGUCCGCAUACAAGUCCCCUGGAACGGGGCGUCAUAGAGGGUGAGAAUCCCGUCUUUGAUGCGGUCCCCCGUCGCUCUACGAUGCGCUCUCAAAGAGUCGAGUUGUUUGGGAAUGCAGCUCAAAACGGGUGGUAAACUCCAUCUAAAGCUAAAUAUUGGCGAGAGACCGAUAGCGAA
rnacentral:rRNA from 1 species